AUAACACAUGUUGGACAUACGUGGACUGGAAAAUGUUUCUUUGGGCUGCUCUAGCUAAUAUAAAUGGCAGUGUUGAAUAGGUUUUUUGUACUUGGUUAACUUUACCUAAAACCAAUUUACUUCAAUUAGUAGAUCAUUUUAUGUUUGACCUGAGUUUUUCUGAGUGAUGGUGGAUAUCACGUGGCACCUGAACAAAUACAAUUGUCCCCUCUACCGCCACAGUGCUUCUUUCAUCUCAAAUGUUUUGAAUAGGAUUUUGGAGCAAUCUAAGCAUAGUAUUAGUGAUGACGCCCAAAUGUUGACGUGUCACAAUUAGCCUCCUGCCAUGUUCUUUCCUCAUUCCUUUCACUUUCAUGUCACACACACACACACACAAUACGUAAUAGUUCACCCAUGCAGAAAAUGAUUUCCCUUUGUCGAAACAGGACUUCCCUUUCCUACUCCAGCAGUCUAGGAAAUAUCUCAAGGGAACCAAAAACUGACUGGUGUUAGCUUGAACUAAUUGAAAGGUUACUGAAUCUGUCUGCAAAUUCACCACUAUUUUGCUACCUAGGCCUGUAACAAAUUAACUAGUGACCUCGUACCUUGAUCUUGGACCUAUCAGACGAAUUGUUGCACUGAAAUUAUGACAUGCUUGACUUCCUGUACACAAUAUCCUUCCUAGAGACACCCUUUCUCUCACUUUCCCCCAGGAAAUACAAACAGGAGACCGCAGUGAUGUAAUAAGAAGUCUCAGAUAAUUGUGCCUUGUCUCUUGUGCUUGGUUUCAGACAUGUACAUGCCACAAAACACAAAUUGCAUAAUGAUUUAAAACUGGAUCAAAUAUUAACAGAUAUCUACCCCUCUCUCUUUCUGUGUCUUACUCACAGGUCUCUCUCUGAGAGAGAGAGAGAGAGAGAGAGAGAGAGAAACACACUCAGACCAGACCAUGACAAAACGGAGAUAUCUCUCAAUGCAUAUGGGCACACUUAACCCCGCCCAUAAGUAAGAGAGAGACUGUGAUUAAAAGGAGCAGUUUAUGCAGCCCUGUGUGGGCUACGGUAACGAAGAGUGCUCUUAAAGUCGGCGACGAUUUAAUCGCCUCAGAAUGAUCGGAAUCGUAGGAAAGUUAUUAUUGCUGUAUAUCUCUUUGGUCCAGACGAAUCCACCUCAGUCUGUGAAGAUCUCUGUUACAGAUGCUGACACAGUGUAUGAGUGCAGUGCAGAUGCCAACACACCCACUCAGUACACAUGGACAAGAGAGGGUCAGCCCCUACCCAGUACUGGGGUGAGGGCAGAGGGCCACAGACUGGUGUUCCUGGAGUUCACUUCUGAGCUGAAUGGCCUGUACACCUGUGAGGUCACAACCCCCGAAGGGGCCCAAAGGGCCACAAUCACUCGCUAUGUAACGACCGGAGGAUCUAAAAUAGACUUUUCUCUGUUAGCUGUGGUGACCAUUGGGGCUGUUCUCAUCGUCACACUCUGGCAAUGGUAAAUACCUCAUUGUCAAAAGGAGGAAACAACAGAGAAGUUUGAAAGCUCUACUCCCAUACCACACCUGAGCUUUUUAAUCAAUGUGCUGAUGAAUCAUAUUUAUGAAUUAUAUCUACAAUUAUAUCUUUAUGUUCCUCCCACGGUUUUGGUUUAAAUAAAAACAUAUUUUUGCAACAAUUACUCUCGGCUCUC
ensembl:lncRNA